GCCACCUUUUUUAUUGACUAAAAAGACAAUGGUUGCUUGAAUUUCUAGUGUUACAAUAAUCAUUUGCUCAAACUACUUUUGAGUUCUCCCAAAGUCAAACCCAAAAUGUAAUACAUAAACCACUCAACACCAAUCAAAAUAUAUAUAUCAUAUAUACUUCUUUGCCUUCCAUUAGACAUUAGUAUAGUACACAUGCAUAAGAUAAUGCCACUAGUAGUAAACAAACCAAAAGUAAGAUAAAAUAGAGCUCCCACCUUCUUUGCUUCAUUAAUACAACCAAAUUUAACUCAUAAAAUCCACCGUAUUUCAUCAAAAUACAUGUCUUAGAGGACUCGACGAUGGGUCCUUACACUCAAGAGAGUCACAUCAUCGACCACAGGGCCACACAGGGAAACAAAAUCAUCACUCCUCGUGUGAUAGUAGGUGCUAAGGAACAUGAUCCUAGUCCGGCUAGCAGUGGCCUUGAAACGGAGGAUAGCACGCUUAUAUCCACCUUUUCCCAUAGACUCAUAUGGGACUUUAAGUGUAUCCCUUCCAGCAAAGGCCUCAACAAUCAUAGAACCUUCACAAGCAUUACUUGCAUCUCCAACUUUGAAACUAAGUUGGUACAUUUUGCCAAUUGUGGUUCUUGCAACUUGAGCAAUGGCACUUUCUUUACCAGCAACUAACUCUAUGGCUCUCUUGCCAUGUGGUACUGAAAAAUGGUCAGAGUCUAAGUAUUUUACUGCCUUUAGGGACUCAACCAUCCAUGCUGGCAAUGGGGAAUGGUCAUCUUCAAUGUUUGGUGGUACAAGUACUCCCCAACUUGUGUUUGGGAAUACGUAUGGACCCUCUUCAAAAUCUCCAUUUUUCAACAAAUUCUGAUUAGUGGCCCUAGGAGGAUAUAAAGUACGAAUGGCGAUCGAAUCGAUGAGAGGACCACAAGCAGGAUCUUCCUCAACACCUGGAUUAUGAAGCAAGAUCUCAACUUGGGGAAAUUCAGCUUGAAAUGCCCAAGCAUAUGAGUCCCAACCACUGCUACUAUACAAUGUUUGGAUAGGCAGGACUCCGAAAUCAGGUGUAACAGAUACGUUGAUACGUUCUUCUUGAGCACAAGUUCUAGCAGCACUGAACGUUAAGGAAUAGUACAUUCCUUUUGUAACGUUUAGUAUUUGCUUGAUCGAUGCUUCGUUACCUAGACGUACCGCGGCGUAGCCCUCGGGUACGACUAGAAGCAUAUCACCUUGUUUUUGGCCAGCUUUUAUGUACUCUACGAACCCGGAAAUUGACCAUUCCGGUAUGGCGUUGUGCUUUAGAACCUCCGUGCCGUUUAAGUCCGCUUUCGAUGGGGGCAUUUCGAAGUUUCCAUUCUUUAACAAUCCAUCAAUAACAGCAAUGGAAAUGCUGGAAAUGGCGCACAAUAGCACGAGCAGCAAUAGUACUUUUAUUGAGCUCUUCAUUAUUAGUACUACUAUUUUUCCCCAGUGGUAAAUAAGAGGGAGAAAUGGGUGAAAGAGGAAGAAGA
rnacentral:misc_RNA from 1 species